AAUGAACGAUGGCGGCAUGGAUUAGGCAUGCAAGUCGAGCGAGAAGGGUUUUGAAGCUUGCUUUGAAACCCGGAAAGCGGCGCAAGGGAGAGUAACGAGUAGUUAUCUACCCCAAGGCCCGGAAUAGCUGCGGGAAACUGCAGGUAAUGCCGGAUAAUAUCCCCGGAUCAAAGGUGUGAUUCCUCCUGGGGAGGAGACUGCUUUGUACUAGCAAGUUGGUAGGGUAAUGGCCUACCAAGGCUACGAUGCAUAGCGGGCGUGAGAGCGUGGCCCGUCUCACUGGGACUGAAACACUGCCCAGACACCUACGGGUGGCUGCAGUCGAGAAUCUUCGGCAAUGGGCGAAAGCCUGACCGAGCGAUGCCGCGUGCGGGAUGAAGGCCCUCGGGUUGUAAACCGCUGUCGUAGAGGAGAAAGGUCUGAUGAAGAAUCAGAUUUGAUCUAUUCUAGGAGGAAGUCCGGGCUAAUUUCGUGCCAGCCGCCGCGGUAA
rnacentral:rRNA from 1 species